rnacentral:lncRNA from 1 species
GUGUAGUAACCCAGAAACCCAGAGAUAAAGGUCCAGAGGGAAGGAAGCACGAAACUCUCGACGUUUUCAGUACGCCCGAGGGAAGCCGUGUGAAAGGCUCCCAACCGGAGAAUGAAGAUCACUGAGUUCCAGAAACAUUUAAGAAAGUUUGGGGAUUAUUGGACUCAGAAGCUGGUGGCAGACUGCCUUGUACACAUCAGUCCCCUCUGCUUCUUAGCCAUAGUCACACUGCGUGCUCGCCUUGGAAUGAUGUCCAGGAAGCUCACUAUGUUUCCAGGAUUCACUUUCACGUCUUUAAAGCUGAUCUCUUCCCCUUCGAAGUGUGACAGGCCCGGUCUGGAUGAACGGGGCCCGCCUCCGGGACCACAAGUGCCUGCCCAUGGAGCUUCUAAGGAGGAUCCUGUCACCCUAGUGGACCACACCUCUGACCUCCAGAGACACAGAUGCCUGCCUGAAAGCCAACUUAAUCGUUCAUAA